rnacentral:rRNA from 1 species
GGAUCCAGACUUUGAUCCUGGCUCAGGAUGAACGCUAGCUACAGGCUUAACACAUGCAAGUCGAGGGGCAGCGGUAUCGAAAGCUUGCUUUCGGUAGCCGGCGACCGGCGCACGGGUGAGUAACGCGUAUCGAACCUGCCUCAUACUCGGGAAUAGCCUUGCGAAAGUAAGAUUAAUGCCCGGUGUUUUCAGAGUCCCGCAUGAGGCUUUGAACAAAGAUUUAUCGGUAUGAGAUGGCGAUGCGUCCCAUUAGCUUGUUGGCGGGGUAACGGCCCACCAGGGCAUCGAUGGGUAGGGGUUCUGAGAGGAAGGUCCCCCACAUUGGAACUGAGACACGGUCCAAACUCCUACGGGAGGCAGCAGUGAGGAAUAUUGGUCAAUGGGCGGAAGCCUGAACCAGCCAAGUAGCGUGCAGGAAGACGGCCCUCCGGGUUGUAAACUGCUUUUAGUUGGGAAUAAAACGGGGCUCGUGAGCCCCCUUGCAUGUACCAUCAGAAAAAGGACCGGCUAAUUCCGUGCCAGCAGCCGCGGUAAUACGGAAGGUUCGGGCGUUAUCCGGAUUUAUUGGGUUUAAAGGGAGCGCAGGCGGACCUUUAAGUCAGCUGUGAAAUACGGCGGCUCAACCGUCGAACUGCAGUUGAUACUGGAGGUCUUGAGUGCACACAGGGAUGCUGGAAUUCAUGGUGUAGCGGUGAAAUGCUCAGAUGUCAUGAAGAACUCCGAUCGCGAAGGCAGGCAUCCGGGGUGCAACUGACGCUGAGGCUCGAAAGUGCGGGUAUCAAACAGGAUUAGAUACCCUGGUAGUC